UUUUGACAAAUAUAAGAGGUCCAGCCUGCCCAGUGACUUAGUUCAACGGCCGCGGUAUCCUAACCGUGGGAAGGUAGGGUAAUCACUUGUUUUUUAAAUGAGGACUAGUAUGAAUGGCCCCCCGAGGGUUACCCUGUUUCCUUUUUUUAAUCAGUGAAACUAAUUUUCCCGUGAAGAAGCGGGAAUUUUUUUAUAAGACGAGAAGACCCUAUGGAGCUUUAAACAAAUUAACACUUGCUGUCCAAAAUAAUUUUUCCAGAAACACCCCCCCCAACAUAGCCCUAUGAUUAAUAGUUUUUGAUUGGGGUGAUCCCGGAGUAAAAAAUAACCUCCAUGCUGAAAGGGGACCCCCCCCCUGAGCAAAAAGCCACAACUUUAAGCACUAAAAAAUUAACAUUAAUUGACCCAAUAUUUUGAUCAACGAACCAAGUUACCCUAGGGAUAACAGCGCAAUCCACUUCAAGAGCUCCUAUCGACAAGUGGGUUUACGACCUCGAUGUUGGAUCAGGGUAUCCUGGUGG
rnacentral:rRNA from 1 species